rnacentral:lncRNA from 1 species
CCCUGUCUGGUCCUUUGCAGGAGAAUACGUGUGGAUCAUGGACUAGAAUAAUGACAAUGGGAAUGGGGAAAACUAGUUGGAUCAAAGAAAUAUUUUGGAGCCAGAUUUUCUUCAAAUAUGUCAAUUAAGACUACGUAUCACAACAGAUUGAAUGCUGAAGUGGACAGAAAAACCCACUGUCUUUCUUUAAAUCAGAAAACUACCUUGGACUACGAGGGUGUGGGGUGAGCCAGCCAUUACCCCCACCCUGAAGCCUGUCCCCCUUUUCUUCUCCAUGGACUACAAGGGGUCUUGAGGGCAUGCAGGUGAACACCCAGAUCACAAGUCCAAGCAGAUACCCACCUGCUGCAAACAGCUACCUAUUGGCCACCUUUUGGGCCUAGGGGUAUGCAUAUCUACAGCGACAUCCACUUUCAGAAGGACAGACACUUUGAAGAAACCUAUGUAGGCCCUGGAGGCAGGAUUUGGACCAUUUGGGCAAGAAAUCCAGGGUUCCAGAUAUUAAUGAGAAAGAGUUCGUCCUUCCCGUAACGUUUUCUCUAAAGGAAAAAGAAGAUCUGAUAGGGUUAAGUGACUUCUCCAGGGCUCCACAGUGGCAAGUGGCAAAGGCGGGGUUAGGAGACCAGACUUCUGACUUUACGGGGCUAUGCCUGUGUUUCAUGCUGCUUCCCCCUAGUCUGAUAUUGUAAAGGAGUCACCAAAUCUAUGUCUCCAGCUGAGAUGAGAAGAAAUUGGAUUUCCUGAGAAUCAUGAUAGCUGCCUCUUACUAAACCCUGGCUAUGCUCAGGCACCAUUCCAAGAACUUUAAGUAUAUGAUCUCUAACAAUAACAACCUGGCAAUGUAAGUAUUGUUAUUCUCUUCUUACAUAUGUGACAAUGACAAUUCAGAGUUGUUAGGUAACUAUUCCAAUUAUAAACUUCAAUAAAUGUCAAUAUGUGUGUGUGUGUACACAUAUAUGUAUACACAUACAUAUAUACACAUAUAUGCACACACAUACAUAUAUACAUAUAUGCACACACAUACAUAUAUACAUAUAUGCACACACAUACAUAUAUACACAUAUAUGUGCACACACAUACAUAUAUACACAUAUAUGUGUACACACAUACAUAUAUACACAUAUAUGUGUACACACAUGCAUAUAUACACACAUAUAUGUGUACACACAUGCAUAUAUACA